GCUAUGGAGGAAGAUCGCCGGAGUAGGGAAAGCUUUGCUCGUGAGAUGCAACAACCGCGAGGAGGAAGACCAGACCUCCAUAAAAAAUCCUUUCCGACCUUUCGUGAGACAGAUGACAUUUUUACCUUCUUCCAAGUUUUUGCUCACUCUUGUAGAGAUCAAGGUGUGCCUAAAAAGUACUGGAUGAGUGCUUUACGCAUUAAUACUGAAGGCGAGUUGAGAGAACUGUUGAACUCUUUGCCACUGGAGUAUGCAGAUGAUUUUGACUACUUUUAUGCUUUAGCCAAGUCUCACUUUGCGCUAACAUCAGAAGAUUGUUUUCGGCAUUUAGAAGCAGACCAGAAGAAGUCUCGGGAAAGCUUCUCAGCCUUUGCUGCACGGAUGGGCAGAAAUGUGGAACGUUGGGCUGACACAGCCGAGGCUGUAACCCGAGAGGAGGUUUUAGAUCUGUUUGCAAAAGAACUGUUUUACAGACGCCUCCCUCGAGAUUUGAUGGCUCUGGUCAGAGACCAGCAGCCCCGCUCUCUGACUGAAGCAGGCAUGCUAGCAGAUCGUAUGUUUAAAAACAGAGCUGGAGAAAAGUAUACUUUGUUUCGGAGACCGGAGUACGUUCCUGUGAAACCGCCGAGGCGAGAGAUCGCAGGUAUGCAGAAACCAGGGCAACCGGCGAAGGAAGAGAAAGGGGGGCCUGCUGGCUACUUCAAAGUACCUUCCGCCCGGCCCGAGGCUGCAUUGCAAGAGAAGCCCCGUGGAGAAAUAAUCUGCUUUAAAUGUGGGCAAAUUGGUCAUAAGGCUAAUUCCUGUUCUAAAACCUUGUCUAAGCCCAAUCCUGCUGGAAGGAAGAACCCAAAGGUUGCUCCAGUUGCACGCGUGAGAGACUUAACGUCCCCUGGAGCGGAACCUCCUGAACUUUCUUCAUGGUCAUCAGCCAAGGAGAAUGAAGGAGCAGAAUCGGAUUUUGUAUUUUCUGCCCCAAAUUCCCAAGACCGUCCUGAGACCCCUCGUGGACCAGUUGUUAAAGCCCUGUCGGUGAGUGUUGUACAAAAUAUAUCCGGGGGCCAAGAGGGAGAAGAAAAGGAUGGUUUGCUGCAAGGGAGGGACUGUCCAGAACCUCUUUCAUCGGAAUGCAAGGAAUGGGUUCAAACGCAGUUCUCAGAACCCAUAUAUGUUAACUGUAUUCAGGUCAUGGGACGGGUAGAUUCGGGCGCAGAGCUCUCCAGUGUUGCUGAACACUUGGUGAAGCCAGAGCAAUAUGUCCCUGACUUACAAGUGACUGUCACGGCUUAUGGACCCAGGGCUGUGCAAGCUCGUGUGGCCGAGCUAGUGCUUUCAUACAAGAAUUGGACUGGGCGCCAUAGAGUUCUAGUUCAUUCAACCAACAGUUUGUGGGACGUUUUGAUAGGAACAGACCUGCUCUUCCUGCACCAUAAAGAGACUGAACGUAGGGCGGAGAGGGAUGCUCUUGCUAAGUCUCAAGUCUUGUUAGACACCUGGAAAGGUAGUGGGAGAGAAGCUAAGGCUUUAAAGGAACGGGCUGUGUGCUUGCCUAAGCUGCAGAAAGAAAGUUCGCUUUUGCAGCCCAGGGGAGGGGGGCUGAUGGAAUGUAAAGUGCCGCCUGUUGGCUCUCAAGGAACUAAGACAGUUCUAAAAAGGAAGGAAAGCCUUCAAGGUUGUAAAAGCAAAACAGAAGUUAACUCGGCUGUUUUAUUACCAGCGGAGGAAUCUGAGCCUCCUAAUAGACAUUUAAUUAGGGCCUGUACCAAGGCGUGUGAAUUUGCAGAGGAUUCUUUGGAUUUGGUUACAGAGAGUCAACAAGCAGGGGGGAUAACUGAAAUUACCCUGCCCGAAGGUUUGACUCAGGAGCAACGAAGGCAAUUAGUUCAAAUUCUGAUGGACUUUAAACCUAUGUUUUCCAGUAAGCCUGGAAGAACUGACUUGGCUAUUCAUUCUAUUAACACCAGGGAUCAUCCCCCUAUGCAAGCUUCUCCGUACCGAGUUAUAGGACGAAAUGCAGAAGUGGUAGAGAGGGAAAUCCAAGCUAUGCUGGAAAUGGGAGUUAUUGAACCCUCUACCAGUCCCUGGUCCUCCCCUAUUGUGCUAGUGGCUAAACGGGAAGCUAAUGAAGUGCGUUUCUGUGUGGAUUACAGGAAGCUGAACCAGAUUUCCCAAGUGGAUCCGUAUCCUUUGCCUAGGAUGGACCAUUUAAUAGAAAGACUGGGAGCAGCAAAAUACAUCACUACACUGGAUUUAACUAAGGGAUAUUGGCAAGUGCCUCUAGAUGGGGACGCUGCUGUGAAAUCUGCUUUUGUCACGCAUAUGGGCUUGUUCCAGUUCAAGGUUCUCCCAUUCGGACUUCGAAAUGCCCCAGCCACGUUCAUGAGGCUUAUUAAUUCUGUGAUUAAUGGCCUAGGUGAAUUUUCUUGUGCGUAUCUGGACGAUCUGGCCAUCUUUAGCCCUGACUGGAAGUCGCAUUUGAACCAUUUGAGAAUUGUUUUACAGCAACUGCAGGCCGCUGGACUAACCAUCAAAGCGCAGAAAUGUCAAUUUGGUCUGGGGGAAGUUGUGUAUUUGGGCCACAGGGUGGGGCAGGAUUGUGUCAAACCCCUAGAGGCUAAGAUCGAAGCUAUUCAAAAUUGGCCUGUCCCUAAGACCAAGAAACAGGUUCAAUCUUUUUUGGGGUUAGCCGGCUAUUACAGAAAAUUUGCUCCACAUUUUAGUAGUGUUGCUACCCCUCUAACUGAACUGUGCAAAAAGACUAUGCCAAUGCGUGUCAUUUGGACUGAUAAAUGUCAAAGUGCUUUUGAUGCUUUAAAGACGAUGUUGAUAAACUAUCCUGUUUUGAAAGCUCCUGAUUUUUCAAGCCCUUUUGUAGUUCAGACGGAUGCUUCUAACUUUGGGCUUGGAGCUGCUUUGCUCCAGGAAGAUGCUGCUGGAGAAUUGCACCCUAUUGCAUACAUUAGUAAGAAAUUGCUUCCAAGAGAGCGCAAUUUGGCUACCAUUGAAAAGGAGUGUCUUGCUUUGGUUUGGGCUCUUGAUAAGUUACGCCCGUACCUAUGGGGACGUCAUUUCCAAUUGCAGACAGACCAUUCUCCUUUGUGUUGGUUGAACAGGAUGAAAAACUCCAACCAAAAAUUGUUACGUUGGAGUCUGGCCCUCCAAGAUUUUGAUUUUACAAUUCAGUUCAUAAAGGGGCGUGAUAAUAUAGUAGCUGAUGCUCUAUCUCGCCUAUCUAUUCCAGUUGAUUGAUAUUUGAUUCAUGCCUAUUCCACUGACUGAUUUCCCGGCUCUGAUGACCUCUGGACCGUUUUUAGACCUUGUUUUACUCUUUUACGCUUUUAACAUGUUUUAUGGACUUUUUAAAGAUUUUACGGCUUAUGACCUUUUUUGAACUUGGACCAGUUUUGGAUCACCCCAUUUUUUAUUCUAUUUUUUUAUUUUUUUUUUAUAUAAUAAAGUUUUCUUUUUUUGGGGGGGUGUUUUAGGGGUCCCUUAUUUCUUUUUUUUUUCUCCUUUAUUGUUUGUUAUGUUGUAACUUUGAACUUAAUUAGAAGGCAUAAGACAAGAAGUAGCUCACUUGCUUAAAAUGUAUUAAAUUGUUUUUUCUUUUUCUUUUUUAUAUGCUGUAUUGUAUUGAUGAUGGAAUUCUUUUUUCUGAUUGUUCCCUUAUUCCUGGUUGCUGUGGCGAUGACGCAGAACUAUUCAGAGUUCUGACAUCAUCUUCCCAAAAAGGGGCGUGUCAUGAACCUGUAAUGGUCAUGAGUUAUUAGAAAUCUGAUGACAACACUUUGGUUCCAGUAAGGGACUCUGGGAGAUGGUUAUAGUCAGAAAAGACAGGCCUUGCCAAUUUGCAAAGUUAAGUUUCAUUUUCCCAGCUGAAGACGGUUAGAAGAAGCCUUAACAAGCUGCACCUGUUUAUCUUUGCUGAUUAGCAAGUGCCUGGCACCCAAGGUCAUCCUUGGCCUAUGCAGUUGGAAAACACCGUUGGGAGGGGGGCCUGAAGGCGCGAAAAUGUGAGAAACAUCGAGAAGAAAGUUACAUCAGUCAAUUCCUGAUUGGUCAAUUAAUCUUGGACCGUUAGGAUCUUUUUCCCUUAAGUAUAGGGCUAGGGACCCACAGCCUUUGUUCUCUGUUCUCUGCCUAUGCUGACUGGCACCAGAGUUCCAAACCUUUUCUGCCUUAUGGUUCCUGGGGUUGCUUAUGGGAAGGCAACCUAUGUCUGGUUCCAUUGCUUUAUGUUGAACAUCCAUCUCUCUUAGGAGAGGUGCCACGCAACCAACUACCUCGUAUGAAGAAGAAUAUUUCUCUGGACAUCCCUCUCUUGCCUAAGGUCCCCCCUGAAGCAUUUUUCACAUUUUUGCAGUGAAAAGAUUUUUGCGGGACUGGCUUGAGAAAGGAAAGGAAAAUGGC